AUUGAACGCUGGCGGCAGGCUUAACACAUGCAAGUCGAACGGUCCUUCGGGAUGGUGGCGGACGGGUGAGUAACACGUGGGAACGUACCCUUAGGUUCGGAACAACACAGGGAAACUUGUGCUAAUACCGGAUAAGCCCUUCGGGGGGAAGAUUUAUCGCCUUUGGAGCGGCCCGCGUCUGAUUAGGUUGUUGGUGAGGUAAUGGCUCACGGAGGCUACGAUCAGUAGCUGGUCUGAGAGGAUGGCCAGCCACACUGGGACUGAGACACGGCCCAGACUCAUACGGGAGGCAGCAGUGGGGAAUCUUGCGCAAUGGGGGAAAGCCUGACGCAGCCAUGCCGCGUGGAUGAUGAAGGUCUUAGGAUUGUAAAAUCCUUUCGCCGGGGACGAUAAUGACGGUACCCGGAGAAGAAGCCCCGGCUAACUUCGUGCCAGCCGCCGCCGUAACAC
rnacentral:rRNA from 1 species